rnacentral:rRNA from 1 species
AUGAACGCUGGCGGCGUGCCUAAUACAUGCAAGUCGAGCGAACAGAUGAGGAGCUUGCUCCUCUGACGUUAGCGGCGGACGGGUGAGUAACACGUGGUUAACCUACCUAUAAGACUGGGAUAACUUCGGGAAACCGGAGCUAAUACCGGAUAAUAUAUUGAACCGCAUGGUUCAAUAGUGAAAGACGGUUUUGCUGUCACUUAUAGAUGGAUCCGCGCCGCAUUAGCUAGUUGGUAAGGUAACGGCUUACCAAGGCAACGAUGCGUAGCCGACCUGAGAGGGUGAUCGGCCACACUGGAACUGAGACACGGUCCAGACUCCUACGGGAGGCAGCAGUAGGGAAUCUUCCGCAAUGGGCGAAAGCCUGACGGAGCAACGCCGCGUGAGUGAUGAAGGUCUUCGGAUCGUAAAACUCUGUUAUUAGGGAAGAACAAAUGUGUAAGUAACUAUGCACGUCUUGACGGUACCUAAUCAGAAAGCCACGGCUAACUACGUG